GAGGGUAUAGCUCAGUGGUAGAGCACAUGCUUAGCAUGCAUGAAGUCUUGGGUUCAGUCCCCAGUGCCUCCA
rnacentral:tRNA from 1 species